rnacentral:rRNA from 1 species
AGGAUAGACGCUGGCGGCGUGCAUGAGACAUGCAAGUCGAACGGACACUUGGGGCUUGCUCCAAGUGUUAGUGGCGGACGGCUGAGUAACGCGUAGGUGACCUGCCCCGAAGUGGGGAAUAACUGCCCGAAAGGGUGGCUAAUACCGCAUGUGGUGGUGUGUUCAUUCACACCAGUAAAGCCGCAAGGCGCUUCGGGAGGGGCCUGCGUCCGAUUAGCUCGUUGGUGGGGUAACGGCUCACCAAGGCGACGAUCGGUAGGUGGUCUGAGAGGACGAUCACCCAGACUGGGACUGAGACACGGCCCAGACUCCUACGGGAGGCAGCAGUCGGGAAUUUUGCGCAAUGGACGAAAGUCUGACGCAGCAACGCCGCGUGAGGGAUGAAGGCCUUCGGGUUGUAACCUCUUUAUCAGGGAAGAUAAUGACGGUACCUGAUGAAUAAGUCACGGCUAACUACGUGCCAGCAGCCGC